rnacentral:misc_RNA from 1 species
AUACCCACCAUAUCCUCGUCGUCGACCAAGUCUUGGUGGUUUACGAAAGUGACAGUGUGGUACCAGUGGGCACAUCGAAUAGCCGCCGUUGGUGCCUCAGUGCCUCCGCUCACCUCCAACAGUGAUCGCGACCGCCGUUCGAUCAUCGGUUCGACGAGUCAUUGUCACCUACGACAUACCUUUAAUUUCGAGCCACGUUCGUUCCAGGCCAAUCAAAACACCGGAUGGUGGAUCGCGCGUUGCGAUGUGCUGCAGGUUUACAAUCGAAUAACAAUUACAACGCGUAGGGAAAAAGCCCGGAGAAAAGUUUUAUUCCAAGAAUACAUAACAUUUAUACCGCAGUGCAGGGAUUUAAUCGUAACACGGUUUACACCAUGGAUUGGAGGGUACGAUCAGUCGCCCAACUUUUGAUGCUGGGGUGUUUAACAGCAUUGCUAGACUGCGGUAUAGCGGAACAGCGAGUUGUAUGUUACUACACAAAUUGGUCAGUGUAUAGACCAGGGACAGCGAAGUUUUCGCCACAAAACAUCAACCCAUACCUUUGCACGCAUCUUAUAUACGCCUUUGGCGGUUUCACUAAGGACAAUGCACUGAAACCGUUCGACAAAUAUCAAGACAUCGAGAAAGGUGGAUAUGCAAAGUUCAACGGUCUGAAAACGUACAAUAAAAAUUUAAAAACGAUGCUGGCUGUCGGGGGAUGGAACGAGGGUUCAAGCAGGUUUUCGCCGUUGGUUGCCGACCCUGACAGACGGAAGGAAUUCGUCAGAAACACAGUAAAAUUUUUGAGACAAAAUCAUUUCGAUGGUUUGGAUCUUGAUUGGGAAUACCCGGCGUUUAGGGAUGGUGGAAAGCCUCGUGACAGAGAUAAUUACGCCUCACUGGUUCAGGAACUUCGCGAAGAAUAUGAACGCGAAUCAUUGAAAACAGGACGCCCGCGACUACUACUUUCAAUGGCUGUUCCAGCUGGUAUAGAAUACAUUAACAAGGGAUACGACAUUCCCAAACUCAACAAAUACUUGGAUUUCAUUAAUCUCCUUUCAUACGACUAUCACUCAUCCUACGAACCUGCCGUGAACCAUCAUUCUCCUCUGUAUCCACUGGAAGAAGAUAACGAAUACAAUUUCGACACCGAACUGACAGUCGACUACACGAUCAAGCAUCUAUUGGACGUCGGAGCCUCUCCAGACAAAAUUGUCGUCGGCAUUCCAACGUAUGGACGUUCUUUCACGUUGUUUAAUGAAGAAGCAACGGAGCUAGGUUCACCAUCCGAUGGUCCAGGCGAAGAGGGUGACGCUACGAGGGAAAAAGGAUAUUUAGCUUAUUACGAGAUUUGUGAGAGCUUGAUAGACUCGGACGAAUGGGAGGUGGUAUCCCCGAAUUCAAAUGCGAUGGGUCCGUACGCCUACAAAGGCAACCAAUGGGUAGGAUAUGACGACGAGGCAAUUGUGAGACUCAAGGCACAAUAUGUUACCGAAAAUGGAUUGGGCGGAAUCAUGUUCUGGUCAAUUGAUAAUGACGACUUCCGCGGAAAGUGUCAUAAUCGUCCGUACCCGUUGAUCGAAGCAGCCAAGGAAGCAAUGUUGGCUGGAAGCGAAAAAACAAGCGUUCGAGAAAAGUCGACUAGACCAACCAAGACACGAAUAGAGAGCAAUUUUAUUGGUAGAAAACUUGGGGCAGGUAGACGCAGAACUACAGAGGCUCCUGCGGGCACGCGUCGAAACAAUUUGCGAAAGCGAAUAAACUCGCUGAGGUCUAACAGCCGGUCGAACGCUCGAACAAAUUUGGAGAAUGAAGAAACUAAGUCGCAGGUGAACGGGCGAAACAGGGGGCAAUACUCUGACUCGGAAGAUGAGGAAGACAUUUCGAACAUCAGAAGAAUAGACGCAAAUGUUGUCAGAAGUGCAGAAUUCAGCGAAGAUCAAGAUACAGAAAAUUCUCAAUCGCAAAACAGAAAUCGUCUACGUGGUGCACAGAGGCGAAAAAGCCCCGAAAACACGAGGCGCAGAACUACUACAGCUUCUAGCGUUUCGGAAGAAGUCGAAGAACAAGCCGGAGUUAACAAAUUAACAACUCCUGAGCCACCGACCACACCAGACCCCGGAACAGAUUUCAAAUGCGAGGAUGAAGGUUUCUUCUCUCAUCCACGAGACUGCAAAAAAUAUUUCUGGUGCCUUGACGCUGGACCUGGUGGAUUGGGAAUUGUCGCUCAUCACUUUACCUGCCCAGCAGGCUUGGUAUUCAAUAAAGCAGCUGACUCGUGUGAUUACCCUCGCAACGUUGUGUGCCCCAAGGCAAAAACAGCGGGGGGUCCGACAACACGCGCUCCUAUUAUUGCUGCCACGAGUCGUACAACAAUAAUAUCCAGUACCACUCGUCGUUCAGCAACAAGUAGUACAACUACAGAACCCAGUGAAUACAACGAAGAGUAUGAAUAUUACGAUGAUGAUGAACUUGAGGAAGAAAACGUUCCCGUAAGCACGACGACAGCCAGGGCUCUGCAGUACCAGACCAUAAGUCGAAAUAGAGCAACGACGACUACAACUACGACCACUGCGAAUCCACCUACAUCCACGCAAAUCCCAAAAACAACGACCUCCAAAACGUAUCAGUCAUUACCUUCAAGAGGUAGCAACGUCGCACCAGCGACAUCGAUAGACGAGGCUGAAGAAGAUCCGCAAGUUCUUAAAGAACUGAUUGAUUUAAUCAAAAAAGCAGGCGGUCUCGAAGAGUUGGAGAAGCAGCUUCACCUGCAAGGUAAAGGUAGCGAGAGUAAUGUACGAACAGGCUCUGCGACGAACAAAACCAGUUCUACACCAACGACAAUUAGUAGAAGCUUAUACGAACGAGUGUUAAACCGCCAAGCAGCCAACAGUGGAAAUACACUGUUCAGAAGAACUACAGCGUCGCCAAUCACUGUCACGAAGAAAAUAACCGAGACGUUAGACUCACAACCCUCUGUCAUCCAGCGAUCAAAACCAAGUUUCCGAAACGGCCCUGGGCAAGCACAAUUCGAAGGUCUCGAUGAUGUUCCAGAGGUAAAAAGUCUCAGAAGAGAAAGACCUCAAUAUGUUACUAUUAAUCGCCAACGACCUUCUACUGAGGCGCCACUUGAAGAUAGCGAGGAGCUUGACGAAAAUAACGAAGAUGACUUAUCUUCGGAAGAAAACUUAUCAAAUAAUCCACCAGAAACCACAACAGCUGUUCCAAGAGGAACUCCUGGUUAUGUUAAUAUACGCCGUAACCGAAUUACGACCGCUAGGUCCAAUGUACCCCAAGAAGAGAGUGAAGAAGACGUUAAUGUUAAUCGCCGCCGACCCGUAGCAUCAAUAGACUCCGCACUCGCUGUGAGUGAUGAUGCUGAUGUUGAUGAUGAUGACUCUAAAGAAUUAGAAAUUACGACUGAAGCAGUUUUAACACGUCGACGAACUCAAUUUCCUAUUCAGGAAGAACAAACCAGCACGUCUAGGUACAUUACCAUUCAUCGUGUAAGAAGUACUACGCAUGCACCCGAAGAAGCAGCUUCGGAAGAAGAAGCUCAAAUCGUUGAUAUUACUACUAAAGCAACUCCUUCUUCUACAGAAAAUAUUUUACCAACAACACCUGACGUUGAGAUCGAAGAUGAGAUUGAUGAUAAAAUAUCUGUACCUGAGACAAAUAUAGAAAACGAAGCAGCGGUCGAGGAAUCAAUUGUCCGUACCGAAUCUAGCCCACCAAUAUCAACAACGCAGUCUCAGAGUUUUAUUGUCACAGAUCUUCCUGUGCAAAAUGUCGAUCCUUUAACUACAAUAGCCCCGUUACCUAUAUCAGUAAAAUCGAUUGAGAUUGGGGAAUAUUCUACAACUGCAGUACCAUCGUCUACAGUUGUUUCUAGUACCACAAUACAAGAAUCUAGUUUUGACGAACCGACUACAAAAGGAUCGGCGGCAGUAGCACAGCCAAGACCAUUCGGUUUCCAGAGAAGAGCUAGGCCAACGACUACCGUUACAUCGCUAACGCCAAGCCCAGACACAACGACCUCUUCUUCUGUUAGUUCUGAUACAGGACGAGUAAAGGUACCGUCGGAAACAGUCAGAUUACCUACCCUGAAGGAGCUCAUUGGUUACAAAACCACUGUUGCAUACGAUUACACAACCACAACACCGAUUACACUUUCAAUCCAAAAUUCACUUGAUGACAACGUUUUAAAUCACAAUGAGCACACUAAUUAUGUCACCGAGACAAUAACACCGACUUUUGGGAGAGACAUUAUACCGGCAGAUGUACAAAGUACAAAAGAUACAGGAAUCGAAGAAGUUAAGGUCGUGCAGGAAGAUCAAGAUCAAGAUCAAUUGAACGACUAUUCGGCAUGGAAAAUUGCUGAGCAUAACAAGUACAAAAAUAGCAUAGAAAAUGAUAAUAGUAUCAUACAUUAUGGAAAGUUAAAAACAUCAACUGAAUCACCUCUACGAGUUACUCUUCCAAUAAAAAUUUUAACGCAAGACGAAGUAACACCCAAGAGACGUAAAAUAAAAUUAGUCAAUAUACCUGUUCGCAUAUUAGAAUCUGAUAGACCUGUAACAGAUCUAAUACUAGAGGUACCAGAAUAUAAAUUGAAGAGUGUGUUAAGGUCUCUGUUACGAGUAGAAAUAAUAAAUCAAGAGAACGUGACAAACGAUAAUAGCAAAGAAUCGAAAACUUUUAAUAUACAUGACCAAAGAAUUACGUAUAGCAAUGAUGACCAAAAUCGUGGUCCCCAAGAUGCGAAUACAGAGCAUAAGGCAGAUGAAUCAUUUAAUGAAAAUUCAAAUACAAAUCCUAAAGUAACCGGAGAUUCAUACUCUUCGACCACGCCUAGUAUUACUACAGUACGAGGCAACCGAUCACAGCCCCCGUAUCGAAGUUCCCGCAAUCGAGGAUUCUAUGUGACAAAAAGCAUAGAGAGCAGUACUUUGCUUCAGAACACAACUCCACCAAUUCCUCGGCAAUCAACAGAAUCGAAUAGUGAAAAUCCCCAACUGUACAGCACAGUACCUGAACUGGAAUUAUCUACUUUUACCGAAAAUCCAUCAACGAUUGCAAUGGAUACUACGAACAUAAGCGGCGAGUUGUACACAAUGCAAGAUGAAUCAGCGUCCGAAGAAACUUGGCAUUCGACAAUAAACACUAGCCUAAAAAAUCUCAACGAUAUUCUGACUAGUAAUAAAGAUGUUAAUAGAACGUCAUUGAAAUCUGAUGAGAUAACAGCCAUACCUGACACUACUACUGCAGAAUACACGUCAACUAGGCUAACUGAGCCGAGUACCGUAAAAUCAACACCGGAAUCCGUAGCUUCCACCGAAUUCAACGAUCAGAUUUAUACAUCUGAAUCUAUAGCUGAAUUUGAAUCAUACUCUACUGAAGAUUUCAGCAGUAUAACAUCUGAAGAAACUUCAAAACCUGAGUCAAGUUUAGACCUGCGUACCACUGUAUCUGGGUUAGAAAGUGAGGAAGAAGAGUAUUAUGAUGUGACGAAUGAGCCUACAUCCACCCCUUAUUUAGCCACAGCAAAAUACAAUGCAGAUUCUGUUGCAAAAAGUCUAAGAGAAAGUUCCGAAGUGAAGAAGUCGAGCACAGCCCUGAACUAUUAUACCGAGAUUGGCAGUACGACUACAGAGUUUCAAAAGACGACUGCCUCUGAAUAUGAAGUACAGAGUGAUGAUUUUCCGAGCAAUGAUCAGAGCAAAGAAACUGUCACAGCAGAAACAACUAAGAGCUUUGAUAACACAUUAACCACCAGUGGAUUAGACUCUGAUUUUAAAUCAAACUUAUUAGUCAAUGGCGAAACACAUGAUAUUGAUUUGGGUUUCAAAACUGAAAGAACUGCAACGACGAGUAUAAUAAUAGGUUCUUCUUUGAAACCUGAGAUAAAAACUACUAAAGCUUCAAUAGAUGAUCAACGAACGAGCCCACUGGAUUUUAUAACAGAAAACAUUAUUGAAAGUAGUUCAUCUGGUGCAAUGACCAGUUUUUCCUUAAACCCUGAAACAGGAACUAACACAGCUUCAAUUUACAAACCAGGAACUACUCUAGUGGAUUUCGUAACAGAAAAUAUUAUUGAAAACAGUUCAACCAAUGUACUGGAUUUCCUAACAGAAGGCAUUAUUGAAAAUAGUUCAAAUAGUGUAACGAUAAGUUCUUCUUCGAACCCUGAAAUAGGAACUAACACAGCUUCAAUCGAUGAUCGAAGAACUAGCCUACUAGAUUUUGCAACAGAAAGCAUUACUGAAAAUGAUUCAACUAGUGCAACGACAAGUUCUUCCAUGAUCCCUGAAAUGGGAACCAACACAGCUUCAAUUGAUGAUCGAAGAACUAGCCCACUGGAUUUUGCAACCGCAAGCAUUACUGAAAAUGGUUCAACCAGUGCAACCGAAAGUUCUUUUUUGAACCCUGAAAUACGAGCUAACACAGCUUCAAUUGAUGAUCGAAGAACCAGCCCACUGGAUUUUGUAACAGAAAGCAUUAUUGAAAAUGAUUCAACCAGUGCAACGACAAGUUUUUCUUUAAACCCUGAAAUAGAAACUAAAACAGUUCCAAUUGAUGAUCGGAGAACUAACCCAGUGGAUUUUGUAACAGAAAGGAUUAUUGAAAACGAUUCAACCGGUGUAACGACAAGUUCUUCCUUGAACUCUGAAAUAGGAACUAAUACAGCAUCAACCCUUAAUCGAGAAGUUACACAAUUGGAUUACUCAACAGAAAAUAUCGUUUCGACUAUUUCAGUGACAUCUGAUUCGGUUAUAAGUACAGUUUCUCUUGGAACAAAUGCAGUUGAAGAAGCAACAGAUUCCUUCGUUAUCCCAGACACAAAAUUGACUGAAAUGGAAAUGGGAAGUACAGUAUCGAGUAACAAAGCAUCAACUACUGAGUCAAACAAUAUAGCAACAGUCACAAGUUCUGUAGGCGAAAUAUCUGGAAUUUCAGAAACACAUUCGACAUAUCCUUCAAAGAUUGAUCAGCAAGUUGUAACCCAAAUUACUCCAUUUACAUUUAGUUCGGGAUCUACAUUUUCACCUUCAAAUAAUGCUCACAAAGACUUUAAUACUGUUUCGACUAUUGUGGAAAAAGACACAGCGCUAGAUACAGCUGUAACGCAGCAAAUUUUAGAGGGUUUAACAGAGGCGCCAAAACGUUCUGUACUGACAGAAUCUACAAGUUCAGAACUUAUAAGUGACACCUUCUAUAGAUCACCUUCAGCUAUUCCAGGAAAGAAAUCAGUGCGCCGGCGAAUAAUUAAAAAACGAAUAAACGGAAUUCGUCGACCAUACGUACAAACCGUUCAAGAUACAAGCAGAUUGAAUGGAAUCGAUAAACCAAGGAAAAGAUUUGUUCGCCGACGUAUAAUAAAUCGUACUACAGGAAAAAUAGUGAAUGAAACGAUGAAAGGAAAUUCGAAAGUGUUGGACAGUCCAUCGAUAAGGAGUAUUGCAAACCCUGAACUCGUUCCCAAGAUAAACGAAUCGCCAGAGCCUCGUAAUGGUACUGUGAGAAAUAAAAUAGUCAGACAUCGUGUAAUUUACAGACGACGACCAGCAGUUAAUCAAACAAAUAGCAGUUCCAUAGAUGCCAAAAUAUCUAGUCAAAAUAACAGUGCCAGUAAUGAUGUGCAAAGUUCUAGUGUCUCGAGCACUAAUUCAAAUCAACGAAGACGAGUAGUGGUAGAAAGAUCUAGGUAUAGGGGUAAAGGUAGCGGUAGAGGUAGAGGACAAACGGAAUCAUCAACAGUAACUUCAAGGCUAAGUUUGGAAAGGCAAUUGAAUUCCACGGAAACCACAGUACAAAACGACAAGUUAUACAAACGCAAGACUAAUGAACAAGAUUACGCAGACGUUACGAUUGAUAAUUUGAGCAGUGGUUCUGAGAGCUACGGCAAGGUUUCUGUUUAUCAAAGAGAAGAACUUCCUCAAAUCGAAAAAAUUUCUGAGGCGGCACUCGAGCUUGAACCCGUAUCGAAGUCAGAAGAUGUUCAAGCUGACGGCGAGAUCAAUCUCUUCAAGACUCGUACGGGUACUUCGAGACUUCCAGGAACUCUGGUUCGAUCAGCGAGACCCAGAACAUCGACGUCCGCUCCUGAAAGUGAUAUAGCUGCAACUGUAUCAACUCUGAGAAAACUUUCCAAUAACAUUGAAGUACGUAGAAGAGGGCGUUUGGGUCAGAGUACAACGAGUGGCUCAACCAGUAAUGCUGAAGUGCAGAGCCAGCCAGCUGCGGGUGACGAUGGAGCCUUGAAAUUCGAGUCUGACAAGGAUGUUUUGGAAAGUCUUGACCAAGCCAGCCAUGCGCAAGAAGUGGAGGUGACCGUAGCUGCCAGAGAUCCCUCAUCGCCAGCUCCGCCAACAGUGACAGCAUAACAACGUGCCUACUUCAUUUGUCAACUAAUUGAUUCAUGUGGCUCUCGUUAUCUGUUCACGUGUCUGUCUGUCUGUCUGACUUCAACUGACCUGCGGCUGUCGCGUGUUCAACGUUAUGAACGCCGAUUAUACCUACUCUGUGUGUAUACCUCAACUCUUCAAACUACACUUGACCACCACUUAUAAUUUUAUUCCACCACCUACUCUACCACAUGACGAUCCUGACUUGCUAUUUCUAUCUGUGUCGUCCACGGUUCAGAACUUCUCUAAGGCGUAGGAUAAUUACAACCGAAGCUCCUCAAGUAACAGUAUCCUCUACAGUCCCAACAACACCAAUCAUCAGACAAAGAACGAGGCCAGCUAGGCCUUUCGAGAAAGUUAC